rnacentral:rRNA from 1 species
UACAGAGGGGGCAAGCGUUGUUCGGAAUUACUGGGCGUAAAGCGCGUGUAGGCGGUCCGGUAAGUCCGCUGUGAAAGUCGGGGGCUCAACCCUCGAAUGCCGGUGGAUACUGUCGGGCUAGAGUGCGGAAGAGGCGAGUGGAAUUCCUGGUGUAGCGGUGAAAUGCGCAGAUAUCAGGAGGAACACCAAUUGCGAAGGCAGCUCGCUGGGACGUUACUGACGCUGAGACGCGAAAGCGUGGGGAGCAAACAGG